GAUGAACGCUGGCGGCGUGCCUAAUACAUGCAAGUCGAGCGAACGGACGAGAAGCUUGCUUCUCUGAUGUUAGCGGCGGACGGGUGAGUAACACGUGGAUAACCUACCUAUAAGACUGGGAUAACUUCGGGAAACCGGAGCUAAUACCGGAUAAUAUUUUGAACCGCAUGGUUCAAAAGUGAAAGACGGUCUUGCUGUCACUUAUAGAUGGAUCCGCGCUGCAUUAGCUAGUUGGUAAGGUAACGGCUUACCAAGGCAACGAUGCAUAGCCGACCUGAGAGGGUGAUCGGCCACACUGGAACUGAGACACGGUCCAGACUCCUACGGGAGGCAGCAGUAGGGAAUCUUCCGCAAUGGGCGAAAGCCUGACGGAGCAACGCCGCGUGAGUGAUGAAGGUCUUCGGAUCGUAAAACUCUGUUAUUAGGGAAGAACAUAUGUGUAAGUAACUGUGCACAUCUUGACGGUACCUAAUCAGAAAGCCACGGCUAACUACGUGCCAGCAGCCGCGGUAAUACGUAGGUGGCAAGCGUUAUCCCGGAUUAUUGGGCGUAAAGCGCGCGUAGGCGGUUUUUUAGUCUGAUGUGAAAGCCCACGGCUCACCCGUGGAGGGUCAUUGGAAACUGGAAAACUUGAGUGCAGAAGAGGAAAGUGGAAUUCCAUGUGUAGCGGUGAAAUGCGCAGAGAUAUGGAGGAACACCAGUGGCGAAGGCGACUUUCUGGUCUGUAACUGACGCUGAUGUGCGAAAGCGUGGGGAUCAAACAGGAUUAGAUACCCUGGUAGUCCACGCCGUAAACGAUGAGUGCUAAGUGUUAGGGGGUUUCCGCCCCUUAGUGCUGCAGCUAACGCAUUAAGCACUCCGCCUGGGGAGUACGACCGCAAGGUUGAAACUCAAAGGAAUUGACGGGGACCCGCACAAGCGGUGGAGCAUGUGGUUUAAUUCGAAGCAACGCGAAGAACCUUACCAAAUCUUGACAUCCUUUGACAACUCUAGAGAUAGAGCUUUCCCCUUCGGGGGACAAAGUGACAGGUGGUGCAUGGUUGUCGUCAGCUCGUGUCGUGAGAUGUUGGGUUAAGUCCCGCAACGAGCGCAACCCUUAAGCUUAGUUGCCAUCAUUAAGUUGGGCACUCUAAGUUGACUGCCGGUGACAAACCGGAGGAAGGUGGGGAUGACGUCAAAUCAUCAUGCCCCUUAUGAUUUGGGCUACACACGUGCUGCAAUGGACAAUACAAAGGGCAGCGAAACCGUGAGGUCAGGCAAAUCCCAUAAAGUUGUUCUCAGUUCGGAUCGUAGUCUGCAACUCGACUACAUGAAGCUGGAAUCGCUAGUAAUCGUAGAUCAGCAUGCUACGGUGAAUACGUUCCCGGGUCU
rnacentral:rRNA from 1 species